rnacentral:rRNA from 2 species
ACGCUAGCUGUGUGCUUAUACAUGCAUGUUGAACGGGAUAGUAUUUUAGUUUUACUAAAGUAUUGUUUUAGUAGCAAAUGGGUGAGUAACACGUACCUAACCUACCUUUUGGACUGGGAUAACCAUUGGAAACAGUGGCUAAUACCGGAUAUAAUAAAAAUUCAUAUGAAUUUUUAUGAAAAGGAGCGAAAAUAAGCUCCACCAAAAAAUGGGGGUGCGCAACAUUAGUUAGUUGGUAGGGUAAAGGCCUACCAAGACGAUGAUGUUUAGCGGGGCCAAGAGGUUGUACCGCCACACUGGGAUUGAGAUACGGCCCAGACUCCUACGGGAGGCAGCAGUAAGGAAUAUUCCACAAUGAGCGAAAGCUUGAUGGAGCGACACAGCGUGCAGGAUGAAGUCUUUAGGUAUGUAAACUGCUGUUGUAAGGGAAGAAAAAAUUAGGUAGGAAAUGAUCUAAUCUUGACGGUACCUUACUAGAAAGCGACGGCAAACUAUGUGCCAGCAGCCGCGGUAAUACAUAGGUCGCAAGCGUUAUCCGGAAUUAUUGGGCGUAAAGCGUUCGUAGGUUUUUUGUUAAGUUUAAGGUUAAAUGCUAAAGCUCAACUUUAGUCCGCUUUAGAUACUGGCAAAAUAGAAUUAUGAAGAGGUUAGCGGAAUUCCUAGUGGAGUGGUGGAAUACGUAGAUAUUAGGAAGAACACCAAUAGGCGAAGGCAGCUAACUGGUCAUAUAUUGACACUAGGGGACGAAAGCGUGGGGAGCAAACCAGGAUUAGAUACCCUGGUAGUCCACGCCGUAAACGAUGAUCAUUAGUUGGUGGCAGAAGUCACUAGCGCAGCUAACGCGUUAAAUGAUCCGCCUGAGUAGUAUGCUCGCAAGAGUGAAACUUAAAGGAAUUGACGGGAACCCGCACAAGCGGUGGAGCAUGUGGUUUAAUUUGAAGAUACGCGUAGAACCUUACCCACUCUUGACAUUCUCGCAAAACUAUAGAGAUAUAGCGGAGGCUAACGAGAUUACAGAUGGUGCAUGGUUGUCGUCAGCUCGUGUCGUGAGAUGUUAGGUUAAGUCCUGCAACGAGCGCAACCCUUUUCUUUAGUUGCUAACAUUAAGUUGAGAACCCUAGAGAUACUGCCGGUGUAAACCGGAGGAAGGUGGGGAUGACGUCAAAUCAUCAUGCCUCUUACGAGUGGGGCAACACACGUGCUACAAUGGCUACUACAAAGAGCAGCAAAACAGUGAUGUCAAGCUAAUCUCAAAAAAGUAGUCUCAGUUCGGAUUGAAGUCUGCAACUCGACUUCAUGAAGUCGGAAUCGCUAGUAAUCGCAGGUCAGCUAUACUGCGGUGAAUACGUUCUCGGGUUUUGUACACACCGCCCGUCACACCAUGGGAGUUGGUAAUGCCCAAAGUCGGUGAGUAACCUCGGAGACCAUUGCCUAAGGCAGACCGAUGACU